CCUGGACCCUCUACAUCAGUCCUAGUAGGAGUGGUUGUGGGCCUGGUUGUUGCUGGUGUUCUACUGGCCAUUCUCCUGGUACUGCUGUGUCAAUAUAAAAACGCCAAAUGCCCCCCCAGCCCCAGAGGACCAACCUGGACCCCCAACAGGACCAAGGAUCUACCCAGGGUCGGGCUCCUGAUGCUGAGUAUACACAUCUGCGGCAUGGUGGCACUAACAUCUAUGAUACAAUCACUCCCUCUGACAGUAAUGACAGCGGUACUGUACACUAUAUUAAGUUAAGCAUGAAUACAGUAUAUAGUUG